AUGCCCAUGGACUCUGAUGUGUUUAAUUGCCUUGAAGAUGUCUGGAUGAUUUGCAAAAAAUCUCCAUCCAGACUCUUGUCUCCAGAUUUCCACUGCAUGAGGAAACCACCAUUCUGCAGUCUUCAGGUCAUUGCAGCACAGAGGAAGGGCUGAGAGGAGUCUGUCCUCUGGCUGCGCUGACUGAAAGCAUGCGGCUGUGUGUGUGCUGCCACCUCACCCUUGGCGGCUUGUAGAUAUUUUCCAUUUUUGGCAACAUGCUCCAGCUGUUACUCUUCCGUCUCCAUUGUGCUUUUAACCCAGUACUGAGCUCAAGGACCAGAAAGGACUAGCAGUUUGAUACCUGUAGUUGUUUUUUAAAAAUAAAAAAAGCCCUCAGUGACA
rnacentral:lncRNA from 1 species